GAUCCCAGGUCUGUAUUGCCUGCUGUCCAAGAUCUGACCGUAUUUGCACCUGAAAGUUUUCCAGUUUUCUACCUCUUUGCUUGAGAGAAGAAAAAUCUUCAACCUUCUAGUCACAACCAACGGCCUCACUCGCAAUUUUCAAGCAAUCACCCUCCAGUACACGUCCACAGACACAGAAACUUCUUAACAUGUCCAAGGACACACCGUGUGACCUGACCUCUGGAAUGGCUUACUUGGCAUCGUGUUUCCUCGGAAGUGGGACUCACUCCCCUGCCUCAGGACCUAGGUAUGUGCUGUGCCUUCAGUGUAAAAAGGGCCCCCUCUGUGUUCUUCUCCCGGCUGGCUCCUUUUAUGUCGUCUGGUCGCAUUUUAAACGUUACGAUCCCAGGGAUGUCCUCCUGACCACCCACCACCCACAUUCUGUGUUUUCCCUUUCACGCUGUCCUGUUUUCUUCCCCAAAGUCCCGAUUGCGUACAUUUGAUAUUUUACUCUUUUAUUAUAGAUGUGUGCUGAUCACUCUGUCUCAGAAGAGCAGAAUGGUAUCUGUCCUGCCCUGUAACAUAUCGAGCAAGGGGUUGGCAGAUAGCAAUUACUCGAUAUGUAUUUGUUCAAUGAACACACAAAGUAAUUCACCCAUCUUCCCUCUCCAGGGUCAGCGGGGUGUGCAGUAUUUUUCCCUUGACCUUUUUGUCAUCUCCCUCGAUGUGGAAGAAGCUGGAAAGCCCGCACACAAGAUCUACGGUCAUGGGCUUGCGAUCAUGAGAAGCCAGUGGGACUGGUGGCAUCCAACUGAGCAUCAACACAGGCAGAGUUCAGGUAUGCUGACCCGGAUGCCCUCUCCACAUCUCCCACGACCGCCUAAUGGUUGUCCCAGACCUGGCUUCACCAACGUUCACCAUUCUCUACACUGAACUCUCAGAGCGUCCUUCUCAAACAGAAGUCUGAUAACACCACUCUGUUCUUCAACUUUCUCAUUGGUUUCUUGCUGUCUUCAUAGCAACUUUUAUUCCCCCGGUGUGGUGUGCAAGGCCUUCCCUGCCCGGUUGCCCUGUAAGGGCUCAGCCCUGUGCCCAGCACCCCCUUGAGUGGAAGGCAGCAUAGCUCAAUCUUUGCCCUUUUGCUCAGAUGCCACUCUCUCUCACAUCUAAGUGAUGCUACCUCCAUCGAGAACGUUCUUUCCCUCCCUUCUCCUCUGCUACCUGGUAACCUCUACCUGUUAGAAUAAUAAUUAGUGCUAACUCUGUGACACAUUAUUGAGAAUUCCCCACAUGCCCUCUACCUCUCCUGUCACACAUUCAAAUCACUGAGUGAACGUCCCCACUCAGGGAUAUGUGCUUCUGCACUGGACAGAUGUGAACAGAAGGUUCAGAGGAAUGUUCUCCCCAAAUGUCAGAUGACUCACAGGUAGACUUAAACACAGGUCUCUGACUAUGAAAUCCUGGCUACUUCCAUUAUGCCAAGCUUCCUUUCUGAAAAUCCAAGUAAGUAUGAUCUCAUCCAGGAAGUCUAUCGUGAUGACUGCUGUGCGCUGAAUACUACGGGCCCGUGAACGGAAUUAGUGCCCUUAUGAAAGACCCCAGAGAGCUCCCUCCUCCCUUCCCCACUGUGAGGACACAGCAGAAGGCGGCCGUCUGUGAACCAAGAAGGGGACCCUCACCAGACAUUGAGCGCCCUGGCAACCUGAUCUUGGACUGCCAACCUCCAGAACCGUGACAAAUAAAUGUCUUUCAGACUUUGUUACA
rnacentral:lncRNA from 1 species